rnacentral:lncRNA from 1 species
GCCCAUCCUGACCCGCAAACACACGGAGCCAGAGUCUGCAUCCCCCAGCCCCACACACAGACCAGAGUCUGCAUCCUCUGGCCUCACACACAGACUAGGACGACCCCACCAGCACACGCCAGACGCACACCCCCUCAACACACACCAAACACACACCCCCCACCAACACAUGGCAGCCACGGACCCCACCAACACGUGUCAGACACACACACACACACACACACACACCCCACCAACACAUGCCAGACACACAAACACACACACACACCACACACAUACAAACCAACACACCAAACACACACGCCCCACACACACACCACACACCCCCUCACCAACACACACCAAACACACACCCCUGACCAACACAUGCCAGACACGCACACACACACAUACCCCACCAACACACGCCAGACACACGCCCCCUCAUCAACACACACCAAACACACCCCCCCCACCAACACACGCCAAACACACACACCUCCACCAACACACACCAGACUCAUACCCCCCACCAACACGCGCCAAACACACACACCUCCACCAACACGUGUCAGACACAGACCCCACCAACACAAGCCAGACACACCCCCACCGACACUCCCCACCAACAUACACCAAACACACACAUCCCCCACCAACACAUGCCAGAUAUACAGCCCCACCAACACACGUCAAACAAACACACACACCUCCACCAACACACGCCAGACACACACACCCUCAUCAACACACACCGAACACACACCCCCCACCAACACACUCCAGACACACACCCUCACCCACACACACAAAAACACACCAACAAACACCCCCUCACCAACACACACCAAACACACACACCCCCGACCAACACACACCAAACACACACCCUCACCAACACACACUAGACACACACCCUCCCACCAACACACACCACACACACACACACCCCCACCAAAACACACCAGGCACACGCCCCCACCAACACACACCAGACACACACACACCCCACAAACACAUGCCAGAGACACACACCCCACCACCAACACACGCCAAACACACACACGCCAUCACCAACACAGGCCAGAUGCCCCGCCCGGCCAGCGCCACAGCCCCCACGAAUUCCUGAGGCCCCCCGGCACACCCACCCUGACAAACCCCGCUGGGCACCGGUCACCCCUCAUUCGGACGGUUAAAAAUUCAUUCACGGCAGCA